rnacentral:lncRNA from 1 species
CCUUGGGGAAAGCCAGUGUUUCCUGGGGUCCCCUAGACUGCUUCAUCCUUUAUUUACAGAACUCAGAGGGACACUGAAACACAGUAGGUCAAAGCUGAGAGAUGCAUUCCAGAAGUCACAGAUCAUUCCAUCCCCAAUCAACCCAACAGAAUGGAUGUUCCCUGAAGGCAGAGGAGCAGCGGUUCCUGAGGACUCUGAAGAUCUGAUGAUUCACAUGAGCUAGAGACACUACUUUCACAACAACAGAAUAGCCCCAGCCCUCUAGGAGUUUCCAUUUUACUGGAAGCAUACAAGAUAAAUUUCAGGAU